rnacentral:rRNA from 1 species
UACGUAGGCAGCGAGCGUUGUUCGGAGUUACUGGGCGUAAAGGGUGUGUAGGCGGUUGUUUAAGUUUGGUGUGAAAUCUCCCGGCUCAACUGGGAGGGUGCGCCGAAUACUGAAUGACUUCGAGUGCGGGAGAGGAGAGUGGAAUUCCUGGUGUAGCGGUGAAAUGCGAAGAUAUCAGGAGGAACACCGGUGGUGUAGACGGCUCUCUGGACCGUAACUGACGCUGAGACACGAAAGCGUGGGUAGCAAACAGG